rnacentral:tRNA from 1 species
GCCCGGUUUGCAACGCUGGAGUCUGCCGCCGUUUCAUGGAAACGGCGGCAGACUCUACGCUUUUGGGGGUGACGCGUUUCCUUCACGCGAACCGGGUUCCA